rnacentral:rRNA from 1 species
UACGUAAGUGGCGAGCGUUAUCCGGAAUUACUGGGCGUAAAGCGUUCGUAGGCGGCGCGGUAAGUUGGGUUUGAAAGCCCGGGGCUCAACUCCGGAUCCGGAUCCAAAACUACCGUGCUGGAGCAUAUCAGGGGGCAGCGGAAUUCCCGGUGUAGCGGUAAUAUGCGUAGAUAUCGGGAGGAACACCAGUGGCGAAGGCGGCUGCCUGGGGUAUUGCUGACGCUGAGGAACGAAGGCCAGGGGAGCGAACGGGG